rnacentral:rRNA from 1 species
UACGAAGGGGGGCUAGCGUUGCUCGGAAUGACUGGGCGUAAAGGGCGCGUAGGCGGAUUGCUUUGUCAGACGUGAAAUUCCAGGGCUCAACCUUGGGGCUGCGUUUGAGACGGGUGAUCUUGAGUUCGGAAGAGGGUCGUGGAAUUCCCAGUGUAGAGGUGAAAUUCGUAGAUAUUGGGAAGAACACCGGUGGCGAAGGCGGCGACCUGGUCCGAGACUGACGCUGAGGCGCGAAAGCGUGGGGAGCAAACAGG